UGUUAGGGUGGGAGGUUGCCACUUUGGCCUAGCAACAAAUAACAGCCUGACCUUGGGAUCUAUUGAAAGCUGAGAAGCCAAGCAGAACAGAGGGAGAACCACCAAAUGAAAGCCCAAGGGUUCCUGUCUAUUUAUUUUAUGUAACUAAACAAAUUCUUCAGAGAAAAAUAUGAGACCAUGCAUGACUGGCAUUGAAGCUGGGUCACUGCAACCAAAAGAAAUGAACAAUUCCGAUCAACAGACCCUGAUUGCAUCAGUGAGCUGGUGGAGCUGAAGAGAUUUCACCAAAAUUGGGAUGUUUGGAUCUGGGUUUUGUUCCACCAGUUGUAGAUGCAGAUGUAGAAUCUGG